UACGUAGGGAGCAAGCGUUGUCCGGAAUCAUUGGGCGUAAAGCGCGCGUAGGCGGCCUCGUAAGUCCGUUGUGAAAGUCAAAGGCUCAACCUUUGAAAGCCGAUGGAUACUGUGAGGCUAGAGUCCGGAAGAGGCGAGUGGAAUUCCUGGUGUAGCGGUGGAAUGCGCAGAUAUCAGGAGGAACACCAAUAGCGAAGGCAGCUCGCUGGGACGGUACUGACGCUAAGGCGCGAAAGCGUGGGAGCGAACAGG
rnacentral:rRNA from 1 species